rnacentral:rRNA from 1 species
UACGUAGGGUGCAAGUGUUGUCCGGAAUUAUUGGGCGUAAAGAGCUCGUAGGCGGUUUGUCGCGUCGAAUGUGAAAACCCGGGGCUCAACCCCGGGCCUGCAUUCGAUACGGGCAGACUAGAGUUCGGUAGGGGAGUCUGGAAUUCCUGGUGUAGCGGUGAAAUGCGCAGAUAUCAGGAGGAACACCGAUGGCGAAGGCAGGUCUCUGGGCAUUAACUGACGCUGAGGAGCGAAAGCAUGGGGAGCGAACAGG